GACGAACGCUGGCGGCGUGCUUAACACAUGCAAGUCGAACGAAGUGGCGAACGGGUGAGUAACGCGUAAUCAACCUGCCCUUCAGAGGGGGACAACAGUUGGCAACGACUGCUAAUACCGCAUAGUGAAGGAGGGGAUUGCGUCUGAUUAGCUAGUUGGAGGGGUAACGGCCCACCAAUGCGCUGAUCAGUAGCCGGUCUGAGAGGAUGGACGGCCACAUUGGGACUGAGACACGGCCCCGACUCGUACGGGAGGGAGAAGUGGGGAAACUUCCGCAAUGGACGAAAGUCUGACGGAGCAACGCCGCGUGAGUUAUGACGGCCUUCGGGUUGUAAAGCUCUGUUAAUCGGGACGCGGUACCGGAAUAGAAAGCCACGGCUAACUACGUGCCAGCAGCCGGGGUAAUUC
rnacentral:rRNA from 1 species